ACUCCUACGGGAGGCAGCAGUGGGGAAUAUUGCACAAUGGGGGGAACCCUGAUGCAGCCAUGCCGCGUGUGUGAAGAAGGCCUUCGGGUUGUAAAGCACUUUCAGUUGUGAGGAAAGGGAUGUAGUUAAUACCUGCAUUCUGUGACGUUAGCAACAGAAGAAGCACCGGCUAACUCCGUGCCAGCAGCCGCGGUAAUACGGAGGGUGCGAGCGUUAAUCGGAAUUACUGGGCGUAAAGCGUGCGUAGGCGGUUAUAUAAGCUAGAUGUGAAAGCCCGGGGCUUAACCUCGGAACUGCAUUUAGAACUGUAUGACUAGAGUUUUGUAGAGGGUGGUGGAAUUUCCAGUGUAGCGGUGAAAUGCGUAGAGAUCUGAAGGAAUACCAGUGGCGAAGGCGGCCCCCUGGACAAAGACUGACGCUCAGAUGCGAAAGCGUGGGGAGCAAACAGGAUUAGAUACCCUGGUAGCUA
rnacentral:rRNA from 1 species